UACGUAGGGUGCGAGCGUUAAUCGGAAUUACUGGGCGUAAAGCGUGCGCAGGCGGUGAUGUAAGACAGAUGUGAAAUCCCCGGGCUCAACCUGGGACCUGCAUUUGUGACUGCAUCGCUAGAGUACGGCAGAGGGGGAUGGAAUUCCGCGUGUAGCAGUGAAAUGCGUAGAUAUGCGGAGGAACACCGAUGGCGAAGGCAAUCCCCUGGGCCUGUACUGACGCUCAUGCACGAAAGCGUGGGGAG
rnacentral:rRNA from 1 species